GACUGUGCAAAGGUAGCAUAAUCAGUUGGCUUAUAAUUGAAGUCUGGGAUGAAAGAAUAUUCGGGUAGUAUCUAUCUUAUGGUAUUUAAUUGAAAUUGGUUACCAAGUGCAAAUACUUGUUUACUAAAAUUAGACGAGAAGACCCUAGAAACUUAUUAAUUUUGUUGGGGCGACAGAACUACAUUUAACUAGUUUUCAAAAACUUGAAGUUAAGCAGAUAGAUAAAGUUACUCUAGGGAUAACAGCAUAAUUUAU
rnacentral:rRNA from 1 species